rnacentral:rRNA from 1 species
AGGAUUCCCCUAGUAACGGCGAGUGAAGAGGGAAGAGCCCAGCACCGAAGCCUGCGGCAGUUUUGCUGUUAGGCAAUGUGGUGUUUGGGUCGGCUCGUGGGACCGCCACUCCACUCGAAGUCCAGCAUAGAGUAUGGUUUCUGGAUUUGGCCCAGAGAGGGUGAAAGGCCCGUACGGGUGGAGUAUCAGACAUGUGAGGUGGUUCACCAGGCCGGCCUUAGAGUCGGGUUGUUUGGGAAUGCAGCCCAAAGCGGGUGGUAAACUCCAUCCAAGGCUAAAUACUAACACGAGUCCGAUAGCGAACAAGUACCGUGAGGGAAAGUUGAAAAGUACUCUGAAGAGAGAGUAAACAGUACGUGAAACCGCAUGCAGGUAAACGGGUGGCGUCAAGCUGCAGGCCCAGAGAAUUCAGUCGGCUAGGAUGUUGUGUAUGCGCCUGGCGCAUCUAUCAGUCGGAGUAUGAUUGGGUAGUCCACCAGUAAACGGUGGGCCUGGCCGCGAGGUCGGGAUAUGUGUACCGGACGGGUGCCGGAGCAUGCUAUCCAUCUGUGGACUGUCUAGCCGGUGCACUUUCUCUGUGGUCAACACCACGACCGGUGGUAUUGCCAGUCUGCUGUGUCCAAGUUGCAUCUGGUGGGUCCUCGUGGCCUACUGGGUGUGAUCACAGGCAAAGUCAGUAAACGGCGUAGAGGUGUCUCGGCACUUUUGCGUGUUAUCGGAUGCUGUUUGUGAACGGGCCUGCUCGGUGUUUGUUGUAACCGACGCUGGGUGGUCCGGUGGGACAUGGUGGUAAGAAUAACUGUGCAAGGCACCGGGGUUAUCGGCCUCAAAUGCGCCCUGCACCCACGUUGCAAGUGGUAUUUAAUAUCGGCGGUGUCGCUGCUGCCUGCCCGUUGUUGGGUGUGAUUGGCGUGUUGCCUGCUCAAAGUGGUAGGUCCGCCAGUGGCUCCACUCGGGAUGGGUAGUUGGCGGUGCUGUCGUGUGGGGCCUCUGGCCAAUA